rnacentral:rRNA from 1 species
GACGAACGCUGGCGGCGUGCUUAACACAUGCAAGUCGAACGGAAAGGCUCCAGCUUGCUGGAGUACUCGAGUGGCGAACGGGUGAGUAACACGUUGGUAAUCUGCCCUGCACUCUGGGAUAAGCCUGGGAAACUGGGUCUAAUACUGGAUAUGACCUUUCUCCUUAUGGGGUUUGGUGGAAAGUUUUUCGGUGUAGGAUGAGCCCGCGGCCUAUCAGCUUGUUGGUGGGGUGAUGGCCUACCAAGGCGACGACGGGUAGCCGGCCUGAGAGGGUGAUCGGCCACAUUGGGACUGAGAUACGGCCCAGACUCCUACGGGAGGCAGAAGUGGGGAAUAUUGAACAAGGGGCGGAAGCCUGAUGCAGCGACGCCGCGUGAGGGAUGACGGCCUUCGGGUUGUAAACCUCUUUCAGCAGGGAAGAAGCGUAAGUGACGGUACCUGCAGAAGAAGCACCGGCUAACUACGUG